GAGGGCAGGGCAGUGAGGGUGAUUAGGGCAAUUAGGGCAAUUAGGGCAGUGAGGGAGCGCAUGGCAGAUACAGCACCGCACCGCAUCCCGCCGCACAGGCCACUUGGGUUGACCGACCUGGGGAACGGGAAGCUGAAGGCACCGCUCAUGGCUGUGUGCGACUUCCUCGGGAGGACGGGGUUCUUCUCCCGGAGGGUGGUCGGGCGCUGGGACGGGCUCCCCAGGGAUGUGAUCACAGCACCGAGCCUGAUUGCGCACAGAGUCACCCAGAAUCACAGAAUCACAAGCCUUUGCGAGGACUCUUUGCCCACAGGCUGGGCUCUGCAGGAUCACAGGAUCACUGGAUCACUGAGACAGAACCGCUGAGCUUCCUGAGUUUGAAGUGACCCAGGAUCACUGAAUGACUUACGUUGGAGAAGACCUCUGAGAACAUCAAGUCCAACCUAUGACCCAGCACCCCUGGCCAUGGCCUGGAUGCCUUGGCAGAGGAUCACAGCCACUGGCAACAGCAGCCCUUAAUGUGGGUUUUUAUCAGAUUAAUUCAGUUUUUCUUCCCUUCCAUCUGUUUUGCAGAACCUGGGUGGAAUUGUGGGCCCCGUAGCUCAGUUUUUGUUGAUUUCAUCAGGGCCAAGGUCUAAGUCCUGCAGUUUAUCAAGUCUUAGAGCAUCUCUAUGCAGGUAAAAGUGGCAAAUUCUGGUCGUUGUGAAAUACGUCAAACAACACAAUCAUGCCUUCCUUUAGACACAGUUAAAACCAGAGUCUUCUCUGUGUUCACAUGUUUGGAACUUGCUAAUUUGAGUUUGUACUUAACACUCUAAUAAAAUAUCUGAAAUGAA